CUCCUCUCCUCCUCCUGUGACAACGAGACAGUGCGAUGAACACAACUCCUCUCCUCUCAGGUAUCUCUCUCUUUCUUCUCCCUAAUUGUCUCUCUCAUCUCUAUAUCUCAUGGUCUCUCAAUCUCCUUCCCAGGCUUCAUUUCAAAACCAAACCCAUACCAAAAAUCUCAGCCCUGAUUGAAACCCCCAUUUAGCUCGAUCCCUGCCGUCUCUCUCUCUCUCUCUCUCUCUCUCUCUCUCUCUCUCUCUCAAUCAUUUCAGCCUUCACUCUCCCUCCCUCCCUC
rnacentral:lncRNA from 1 species